UCACUCUGGUUUCUCUUCAGAACGUAUAAUUCUUUGCCUUUUACUAAAUGUUUCUGUGGAGGGGAUCAAUAAGAGUAUUACUCAAUUUUUUUGAUGCCCUGCUUUACUGCGGGGCU